rnacentral:misc_RNA from 1 species
GAUGAAAAACGUAGCGAAAUGCGAUACUUGGUGUGAAUUGCAGAAUCCCGUGAACCAUCGAGUCUUUGAACGCAAGUUGCGCCCGAAGCCAUUAGGCCGAGGGCACGCCUGCCUGGGCGUCACACGUCGUUGCCCCCCCCAUCUACUCCUUCGGGAUUGCGGGGGGCGGAUGAUGGCCUCCCGUGCGCCUCGCCGCGCGGUUGGCAUAAAUGCCAAGUCCUCGGCGACGCACGCCACGACAAUCGGUGGUUGCGAAACCUCGGUUGCCCGUCGUGUGCGGUCGUCGCGCAUCGAGGGCUCGAAAAAAUUGCCGAGUUCCGGCUCGGCUUUCAACGCGACCCCAGGUCAGGCGGGGUUACCCGCUGAAUUUAAGCAUAUCAAUAAGCGGAGGA